UAGAGUUUGAUCAUGGCUCAGAACGAACGCUGGCGGCAGGCCUAACACAUGCAAGUCGAACGCUGGAGCAAUGCAGAGUGGCAGACGGGUGAGUAACGCGUGGGAACCUUCCCAGUGGUACGGAAUAGCCCAGGGAAACUUGGGGUAAUACCGUAUACGCCCCUAGGGGGAAAGAUUUAUCGCCAUUGGAUGGGCCCGCGUCGGAUUAGCUAGUUGGUGAGGUAACGGCUCACCAAGGCGACGAUCCGUAGCUGGUCUGAGAGGAUGAUCAGCCACACUGGGACUGAGACACGGCCCAGACUCCUACGGGAGGCAGCAGUGGGGAAUAUUGGACAAUGGGCGCAAGCCUGAUCCAGCCAUGCCGCGUGAGUGACGAAGGCCUUAGGGUUGUAAAGCUCUUUUGGCGGGGACGAUAAUGACGGUACCCGCAGAAUAAGCUCCGGCUAACUUCGUGCCAGCAGCCGCGGUAAUACGAAGGGAGCUAGCGUUGUUCGGAAUCACUGGGCGUAAAGCGCACGUAGGCGGAUGUGUCGGUCAGGGGUGAAAUCCCGGGGCUCAACCUCGGAACUGCCUUUGAUACAGCACGUCUUGAGUCCGGAAGAGGUGGGUGGAAUUCCUAGUGUAGAGGUGAAAUUCGUAGAUAUUAGGAAGAACACCGGUGGCGAAGGCGGCCCACUGGUCCGGUACUGACGCUG
rnacentral:rRNA from 1 species